AAUCAUAACCAUUGUUCAGUGAAAUGUGCGGUCUUGAUUGAUGAUUUGAUAAUGGAUUUAAGCUCGUGAUAACAAGCGGAGUGAACAUGUAGAAUUGAACAUAUAAAUUGAUCUUUUGUGCCUGGACUUUGUUCAUAUUUUGUUUUAGGUGUUGAAGCAAUUCAUAGUGAGCAGUUGGUGUUGGUUCUUUGCAUUCAUUUUAGUUCUGCAGAAAUUCAACAUGUGUUAUUCGCUUUGUGUCUUGUUUUGUUCCCUUGGUAGCUCAUGGUAUAGUGUGUUGAUCCUUUGUAUUGUAUAUUCAUUGGUUAUGUAGAAUUGAAUCUUACGUUACAACUUUGUUAAUUUUCAGGGGAUUUACCAAGUUCAACCGUGUUGACUAUGUAAGAUUGAAGUCAGAGGCACGCAUUCUUCCUGAUGGUGUCAAUGCCAAGCUCUUGGGAUGCCACGGAUCUUUGGCUUUGCGUAAACCUGGUGAAGCUUUCAUUGACGCUGCUGCUUAGAAUAUCUUUGUCUAGGAAUUGAAUUCGUGUAAUCCAAUUUCUUUUUGUGCUUUAAAUUCUGUUGACUCUGAAGUUUCGAGUGCUUUAAAUUUGCAUUUGUAUUUUAAUGACUGAAGUUUAUGUCUUCAAUUUGGUACACAA